CCUACGGGAGGCAGCAGUAGGGAAUCUUGCGCAAUGGGCGGAAGCCUGACGCAGCGACGCCGCGUGGGGGAUGAAGGCCUUCGGGUCGUAAACCCCUGUCUUGAGGGACGAUGAUGACGGUACCUCAAGAGGAAGCCCCGGCUAACUACGUGCCAGCAGCCGCGGUAAU
rnacentral:rRNA from 1 species